rnacentral:rRNA from 1 species
UACGUAUGUCCCGAGCGUUAUCCGGAUUUAUUGGGCGUAAAGCGAGCGCAGGCGGUUGUUUAAGUCUGAUGUGAAAGCCCGGAGCUCAACUCCGGAAUGGCAUUGGAAACUGGUUAACUUGAGUGUUGUAGAGGUAAGUGGAACUCCAUGUGUAGCGGUGGAAUGCGUAGAUAUAUGGAAGAACACCAGUGGCGAAGGCGGCUUACUGGACAACAACUGACGUUGAGGCGCGAAAGUGUGGGUAGCAAACAGG